AUUGAGCGCUGGCGGCAGGCCUAACACAUGCAAGUCGAACGGUAACAGGAAGCAGCUUGCUGCUUCGCUGACGAGUGGCGGACGGGUGAGUAAUGUCUGGGAAACUGCCUGAUGGAGGGGGAUAACUACUGGAAACGGUAGCUAAUACCGCAUAACGUCGCAAGACCAAAGAGGGGGACCUUAGGGCCUCUUGCCAUCGGAUGUGCCCAGAUGGGAUUAGCUAGUAGGUGGGGUAACGGCUCACCUAGGCGACGAUCCCUAGCUGGUCUGAGAGGAUGACCAGCCACACUGGAACUGAGACACGGUCCAGACUCCUACGGGAGGCAGCAGUGGGGAAUAUUGCACAAUGGGCGCAAGCCUGAUGCAGCCAUGCCGCGUGUAUGAAGAAGGCCUUCGGGUUGUAAAGUACUUUCAGCGGGGAGGAAGGGAGUAAAGUUAAUACCUUUGCUCAUUGACGUUACCCGCAGAAGAAGCACCGGCUAACUCCGUG
rnacentral:rRNA from 1 species